AAUUAACUACUUACACACACACACGAAGAGAGAAAGAGAGAGAUAGAACGAGUGAGUGAGGGAGAGAGAAAUGCACACCUCCUGUUCCUCCUCCUUCUCCUCCUCCUCCUCCUUCUGCUCGCCUCCCCGGGUUCAGGUUGGUAGUUGAGCUGCCUCUCCGGUCGCUGCCUCGGUGCGCCGUCAGAUUGGAUGCGCUUGGAUUGACUGUGCGCGAUUCAGCCGGUGAGAAGAUCACUUCCUGAAAAUAACAUACAAAUUUGAAGUGACGCUUCCGUGCAGUGAGACAGCGGCGCUUUCCCACGUCUCCUCCUUCUUCCUGGAUCGGAACAUCCGCAGCGGCGAACAGACUCCAGCCCAGGCCGGGAGACGGUGAUCAGGCUUCGGCCUCAGGUGCAUCUCUGAGGCGGGGCCACGCGGAAAGUCCAGAUGUGUAUCAGGGGUCUCGGGGUCGACAGAGGGGUCCCUCCACUGCUGUAACAUUUCUGUCUCUACUGAGAGAUGGUGGUCCCGAUAGCUCGGCCCGUCUGACAUGUACACAACGGUACAUAAAUCAAACGCACGCUCGCUCCAUUUAUCACCUGUUUGAGAAGCACAGAGAUAGCGGCCAACUCUGCAUACAGCCAGCGUGAGUCAGGUCUAGUUAAGUGGGGUAAGUAAUGUUUAGCUGAAAAGGGUUUACUCGUGUUCCUGCUAUCUCUAUUGUUCAGGGUUUCUUCCAGUGUUUGUGCCUCUUUUGUUUAAUAGUGUGCAGCUUGCUC